GUAAGGCAGACAACGAAUGCCUAGGAUACUGAAGCCGAAGAAGGACGUACGUGGCCACGAAAGUCGUCGGGGAGCUGCCAAGAAGCUUUGAUCCGGCGGUGUCCGAAUGGGGAAACCCCCUCUUUAUGAGGACCCCGCCUAUGGCGGGGGGGGCACGCCCUGAACUGAAACAUCUAAGUAAGGGCAGGAAAAGAAAUCAACGUUCGCGCAAGCGAGAGAGAUUCCGUAAGUAAGCGGUGAGCGAAAGCGGAACAGCCUAAACCCCGCCGCAAGGCGAGGGUGUUGCGGGAAGGCCGAGUGACCGGCAAGGGUAGUCGAACUGUCUGGAAAGGCAGGCUAUAAAACGUGACAGCCGUGUAGGCGAAACCCAAGCCGGCGUGAAGCCGAAUUCCCAAGUACCAUGAGGCACAUACCUUGUGGGAAUCCGGGGUGACCACACUCCAAGGCUAAAUACUUCAGUGUACCGAUAGUGAACUAGUACCGU
rnacentral:rRNA from 1 species